rnacentral:lncRNA from 1 species
CGUCGCAACCCCCCGAGCCUGGUCACUGGUCCUGCUGGCCGCAGCGCGGCCAGCAGCGGGGCGAGCACCAUGCGGGAGCAGAGGAAUGUCUCCAAGUAAGACAAAAGAAGACCCAGAGGCAAAAGAUACCCAGAAGCCUUAGUCAAAUAAAGAAGAGGCAGCAAAGAGCCAUGAUGCAAAGAAUGCAGAGACUUCUUUUUAUAAAAGGUGGUGACACACAAGAGUCCGA